UACGUAGGGUGCAAGCGUUGUCCGGAAUUAUUGGGCGUAAAGAGCGUGUAGGCGGCCAGGUAGGUCUGCUGUGAAAACUCGAGGCUCAACCUCGAGACGUCGGCGGAAACCAUCUGGCUAGAGUCCGGAAGAGGAGAGUGGAAUUCCUGGUGUAGCGGUGAAAUGCGCAGAUAUCUGGAGGAACACCGGUGGCGAAGGCGGCAUCCUGGACCGGUAUUGACGCUGAGGAGCGAAAGCCAGGGGAGCAAACGGG
rnacentral:rRNA from 1 species